AUUUGACCUCAAAUCAGGUAGGAACACCCGCUGAACUUAAGCAUAUCAAUAAGCGGAGGAAAAGAAAAUAACAAUGAUUCCCCUAGUAACUGCGAGUGAAGAGGGACAAGCUCAAAUUUUAAAUCCAUCGGGUUUUACCCGAUCGAGUUGUAAUUUGAAGAGGCGUUUUCUGUGUUUCUGAUCAGUCCAAGUCCUUUGGGAUAAGGCAUCAUGGAGGGUGAGAAUCCCGUCCGGUUGAUCAGAUUCGCUUUACGAUACGCUUUCUAAGAGUCAAGUUGUUUGGGAUUGCAGCUUAAAAUGGGAGGUAAAUUUCUCCUAAGGCUAAAUAACGGCGAGAGACCGAUAGCGAACAAGUACCGUGAGGGAAAGAUGAAAAGAGCUUUGAAAAGAGAGUUAAACAGUACGUGAAAUUGUUGAAAGGGAAACGAUUGAAGCCAGUCGUACCUUCGGGUAAUCAGCCUUUCGGGUGCGAUUAUGUGGAGUGUGAGGAGCUUAAACACCUUCAUGUUUUGCAUAUUCGUACUCUUGGGUGUACUUGCCCGUGUGGUUGGUUAACAUCAAUUUUGGUGGUCAUAAAAUGACUGGAGGAAUGUAGCUUCGAUCUCGUAUUGAAGUGUUAUAGCCUUCGGUAGAUGUGAUGAUCGAGAUUGAGGAUUGCAACGGAUACCCUUCGGGGCUACCUGUCUGGUCUCUGAUCGUUGCUCUGGUGCCGAAAGCUUGCUUACGGUUAUCAAAGUCGAUGGUCAAUAGGUUAGAACGGGUUAAAUUCGUUAAGGAUGUUGACGUAAUGGCUUUAAACGACCCGUCUUGAAACACGGACAA
rnacentral:rRNA from 1 species